rnacentral:ncRNA from 1 species
AGUGCUUCAGUCUGAACACCGAGCACCAUAUUGGUGCAAUUUUCGUUAAAGUGCCCUUUUUCGCUCCGUGAAAGCGAUCACAAAGCAUCUCUGCGAUACUUGUUUGC